rnacentral:tRNA from 1 species
GCGGAAGUGGCGGAAUGGCAUACGCGCACGUCUCAGAAGCGUGUGGGGUAACCCUUGAGGGUUCAACUCCCUCCUUCCGCACCA